ACUGGUUUAAAUCAGUGUCUGUGUGAAGUGGGCAAGUUGUGUGAAUUAAGUAGUAGGUACUAACUAUCCCAGCUACAAGUGCAUUAGUUGAACGAAGUUUUUCAGUAUUAAAACGCAUCAAAAGUUUUACAAUAAAUUUUACAAGUGAAGACAGACUUUCCAAGUUAGCCCAAUUAUCCAUUGAAAAGGAGUGCAUUUAUUAAACAAUUAUCAGAAAAUCCAAAAUUUUACGACGAUGUUAUCGACAAAAAAUUUGCAUUGGUUGAUAAGAGAAUAGGACUCAAGUAUAAGUAAAUAAGUGUCAUAUUAUUGAAAGUUGUGUGUUAUGGAAGGUGAUUCGAAAUCGGAAUAUAAAAACAAUUUUGAAUAGAA
rnacentral:lncRNA from 1 species